rnacentral:rRNA from 1 species
CCUACGGGAGGCAGCAGUGGGGAAUAUUGGACAAUGGGGGAAACCCUUAUCCAGCGACGCCGCGUGAGGGAAGAAGGUUCUCGGAAUGUAAACCUCUGUCAGUGGGGACGAUAAUGACGGUACCCAUGGAGGAAGCCACGGCUCACUACGUGCCAGCAGCCGCGGUAAUACGUAGGGGGCAAGCGUUGUCCGGAAUUACUGGGCGUAAAGGGAUCGUAGGCGGGAUGUCAAGUCAGAAGUGAAAAUUAUGGGCUCAACUCAUAACCGGCUGUUGAAACUGGUAUUCUUGAGUGAAGUAGAGGCAAGCGGAAUGCGUAGUGUAGCGGUGAAAUGCGUAGAUAUUAGGAGGAACACCGGUGGCGAAGGCGGCUUGCUGGGCUUUUACUGACGCUGAGGCUCGAAAGCGUGGGGAGCGAACAGGAUUAGAUACCCCUGUAGUC